UACGUAGGGUGCGAGCGUUGUCCGGAAUUAUUGGGCGUAAAGGGCUCGUAGGCGGUCUGUCGCGUCGGUAGUGAAAACUCAGGGCUUAACCCUGAGCCUGCUUCCGAUACGGGCAGACUAGAGGUAUGCAGGGGAGAAUGGAAUUCCUGGUGUAGCGGUGAAAUGCGCAGAUAUCAGGAGGAACACCAGUGGCGAAGGCGACUCUUUGGCCUGUAACUGACGCUGAGGCGCGAAAGCGUGGGGAGCAAACAGG
rnacentral:rRNA from 1 species